rnacentral:rRNA from 1 species
UUCCCCAGACAUUCCCACUUUCCUUUGGUUUUGGAAGCUAAGCCUGAUUAGUACUUGGAUGGGAGAUCUGGGAAUACCAGAUUCUGUAGGAG